GACGAACGCUGGCGGCGUGCCUAAUACAUGCAAGUUGAGCGCUGAAGGUUGGUACUUGUACCAACUGGAUGAGCAGCGAACGGGUGAGUAACGCGUGGGGAAUCUGCCUUUGAGCGGGGGACAACAUUGGGAAACGAAUGCUAAUACCGCAUAAAAUCUUUAAACACAAGUUUUAAGUUUGAAAGAUGCAAUUGCAUCACUCAAAGAUGAUCCCGCGUUGUAUUAGCUAGUUGGUGAGGUAAAGGCUCACCAAGGCGAUGAUACAUAGCCGACCUGAGAGGGUGAUCGGCCACAUUGGGACUGAGACACGGCCCAAACUCCUACGGGAGGCAGCAGUAGGGAAUCUUCGGCAAUGGACGAAAGUCUGACCGAGCAACGCCGCGUGAGUGAAGAAGGUUGUCGGAUCGUAAAACUCUGUUGGUAGAGAAGAACGUUGGUGAGAGUGGAAAGCUCAUCAAGUGACGGUAACUACCCAGAAAGGGACGGCUAACUACGUG
rnacentral:rRNA from 1 species